rnacentral:rRNA from 1 species
UACGUAGGGUGCAAGCGUUAAUCGGAAUUACUGGGCGUAAAGCGUGCGCAGGCGGUUUUGUAAGUCUGAUGUGAAAUCCCCGGGCUCAACCUGGGAAUUGCAUUGGAGACUGCAAGGCUAGAAUCUGGCAGAGGGGGGUAGAAUUCCACGUGUAGCAGUGAAAUGCGUAGAUAUGUGGAGGAACACCGAUGGCGAAGGCAGCCCCCUGGGGUCAAGAUUGACGCUCAUGCACGAAAGGCGUGG